CGCGCAGGCGGUCUUGUCCGUCAGGUGUGAAAGCUCGGGGCUCAACCCCGGAAGUGCACUUGAAACAGCAAGACUUGAAUACGGGAGAGGAAAGCGGAAUUCCUGGUGUAGAGGUGAAAUUCGUAGAUAUCAGGAGGAACACCGAUGGCGAAGGCAGCUUUCUGGACCGAUAUUGACGCUGAGGCGCGAAGGCGUGGGUAGCGAACG
rnacentral:rRNA from 1 species